ensembl:processed_transcript 4931431B13Rik RIKEN cDNA 4931431B13 gene
AGAGCAUGGCAUCCUUAUAGAGAGGGAUUCUGGAGAGAGAACUGCUACGGGCUGUGUACCUGUGCUGGGCUCCUCAGAGUCACAUCCCACACGGCCACACCAUUCAGAAGGAUGGGGACCCAGAAGUUAACGCUGAUGGCCAGCGUCAAUGGACUCAGGUUAUUCACCUGCAGGAGUGGAGACCAGCUUCUCACACGAUAUCGAUGUUCGGCCUCUUUCUGUCUCUCCCCGUGGGAAGAUGAGAAGUUGAAAUGCUUGGUAGAAUCUUCCUGCCUGGAGAGAAUGACAUGUUAGUGAGAAACCGCUCCGACGCCAUCUCCGUUUGAAUCCCAGCUCGCUGUACAGUACUGGGUCCAGCAGCUGAUGCAGGGAAACAACGAUGGUCUUCAAAUGCAUCUGCAGCCUCGGUGCCAGCUUCCACUCCUCUCCCCACAGAGCCUUGCCAGGCACCGGAGUUACCAGCUCUUCCCUUGAUGCGCUGACUUCUUUAUGCCCCCAAAGAUCUGUUCCAGCUUUCUUUGGCAGGAAAUGUUCUUAACCGAGUUCCAGGGAUUUUCACUCAGAGACCCAGCAUCUGCACAUUCCUUGUACUGAUUGAUCGCCAUUUCCCAGUGGUGAGAAAGCGCUUGUAUGCCCCCUCUAGCUGGUAGUCCAUCAGAUGGGAGGUGGCCUCAGGAACGCCUACAAAGUCUUCUGCCAGAAUAAAUAAGCCUAUGGGACUCUACAAAGGGAAGGCUAGAUUACUUGGGACAAAUGGAGUGACCCUGUCUCUGGUGGCAGGCAUGAAAGCAGAUAUAGUCGUGUUGGGGCAGGCAAACACAUAUGGAAGGAGUUGGCCCAGGAACUCAAGCCAAGAGGGUCCCUAAAUGCCGACAGGUUCCUAUCUACUGGUUGUAUUUGUGAGAUAGGCUCAAGUCAUAGCCUAGACACGCCUUAAAUUCACAGCGAUCUUCCUACACCUGCCUUCCAGAUGCAAAGAUUAUGACACAUCUGGCUUACCCAUGGCUUUCAGUAGACAUUUGCUAUGUUACAAAAGAUGGUGGGAGGGGCACAGGAGGAAUAGGAGGGGAGAGAGAGUGAGGGAGUAGGAUGUGUAAAUACAUUACUCAUGUAUGAAAUUAUCAAAAAUAAAAAUGUAAAUUAAAUAACG